rnacentral:snRNA from 1 species
CAUCUUGUGCUUGGGGCAAUGACGCAGCUAGUGAGGUUCUAACAGAGGCGCGUCUAUUGCUGGCUGAAAACUAUUUCCAUGCUGC